CUCCUCUUUGCUGCAUAUAAAAAACAGCAAAUAAACUCACUGUUUCACAGCCCAAAACAGCAGCACCUCUUCUUUUAAAAGUUGCAGAAAAGUCCUCUUUGUAUCUCUCAAUUUGCUGCAGAAUAAAAAAAAGGAUCACUCUUCUUCCCUUUGAUUCUUUCGGCUCAUGUGAGUUGCUGCAAGAGAGAAUUCUCUUGUAUCUCUCACGGUUCAGAAUCAGAAAAAGAGAAAAAGAUUCUCUUGUGAUUAUAUCUGUGAACGCUUUCCUGAAACUAGAAGAAUUACUUACAACAGUAAGGAAUGCUUUUUCUUGGAAGCUGAAGUUGGCACCACGACACAAGUCAUUGAAGAACACAAAAAAUGGCACCAGUAAAAUCCACGCUCACCGCACCAAUGAUAAGAGAAAAACCUAAAACCAAAACCAACACCAGAAUUCCAACAAGUGGAAAACCCAACCAUAAAUAUACCACAUGUCUCCACCACAGAUCGCCGAAGGCACUCCAAAAGUCGGCACAGAACCUGCCGACAGCCACCAAGAAGCUAAAACCACCGCAAACAAG